GACGAACGCUGGCGGCGUGCCUAAUACAUGCAAGUAGAACGCUGAAGAGAGGAGCUUGCUCUUCUUGGAUGAGUUGCGAACGGGUGAGUAACGCGUAGGUAACCUGCCUUGUAGCGGGGGAUAACUAUUGGAAACGAUAGCUAAUACCGCAUAACAAUGGAUGACACAUGUCAUUUAUUUGAAAGGGGCAAUUGCUCCACUACAAGAUGGACCUGCGUUGUAUUAGCUAGUAGGUGAGGUAACGGCUCACCUAGGCGACGAUACAUAGCCGACCUGAGAGGGUGAUCGGCCACACUGGGACUGAGACACGGCCCAGACUCCUACGGGAGGCAGCAGUAGGGAAUCUUCGGCAAUGGGGGCAACCCUGACCGAGCAACGCCGCGUGAGUGAAGAAGGUUUUCGGAUCGUAAAGCUCUGUUGUAAGUCAAGAACGAGUGUGAGAGUGGAAAGUUCACACUGUGACGGUAGCUUACCAGAAAGGGACGGCUAACUACGUGCCAGCAGCCGCGGUAAUACGUAGGUCCCGAGCGUUGUCCGGAUUUAUUGGGCGUAAAGCGAGCGCAGGCGGUUUGAUAAGUCUGAAGUUAAAGGCUGUGGCUCAACCAUAGUUCGCUUUGGAAACUGUCAAACUUGAGUGCAGAAGGGGAGAGUGGAAUUCCAUGUGUAGCGGUGAAAUGCGUAGAUAUAUGGAGGAACACCGGUGGCGAAAGCGGCUCUCUGGUCUGUAACUGACGCUGAGGCUCGAAAGCGUGGGGAGCGAACAGGAUUAGAUACCCUGGUAGUCCACGCCGUAAACGAUGAGUGCUAGGUGUUGGAUCCUUUCCGGGAUUCAGUGCCGCAGCUAACGCAUUAAGCACUCCGCCUGGGGAGUACGACCGCAAGGUUGAAACUCAAAGGAAUUGACGGGGGCCCGCACAAGCGGUGGAGCAUGUGGUUUAAUUCGAAGCAACGCGAAGAACCUUACCAGGUCUUGACAUCCCGAUGCUAUUUCUAGAGAUAGAAAGUUACUUCGGUACAUCGGUGACAGGUGGUGCAUGGUUGUCGUCAGCUCGUGUCGUGAGAUGUUGGGUUAAGUCCCGCAACGAGCGCAACCCCUAUUGUUAGUUGCCAUCAUUCAGUUGGGCACUCUAGCGAGACUGCCGGUAAUAAACCGGAGGAAGGUGGGGAUGACGUCAAAUCACCAUGCCCCUUAUGACCUGGGCUACACACGUGCUACAAUGGUUGGUACAACGAGUUGCGAGUCGGUGACGGCAAGCUAAUCUCUUAAAGCCAAUCUCAGUUCGGAUAGUAGGCUGCAACUCGCCUACAUGAAGUCGGAAUCGCUAGUAAUCGCGGAUCAGCACGCCGCGGUGAAUACGUUCCCGGGCCU
rnacentral:rRNA from 1 species